GGCCCGCUGAGCCCCUCAGGCCCGCCCCGCCGGGAAUUGUUGUCCUUCGGGAGAAUUAUUUCAUUUAAAAUGCCCGUCUGAGGGAUGUUUCUGCUUUUAGAGAUGCCGCAGUUGUUUGUUUGUUUGUUUGUUUUUUCCCCUGCUUUUUAUGUGUGAUAGGUGUCUGUGCCAGCAAAGCCGUCGAAAGGAGCGAUUUGCUUCCUGGAGUUUUGUCCGUGUAUCACUGAAGGAAGGCUCACUGCCUGCCUCUUCUGCUCUCUUAGGAAAUUUAAAGAAGUCAAAAGGGCCUCAAGUUCACAUAAAAUGAUUUUGUGUGCCUAAAAGCUCUGGGAGGUUUUUUUUUUGUUUUGUUUUGUUUUUUUUUUUUUUUAUUUUUUAUUUUUUAUUUUUUUUGUGUGUGCUCCUAAAAGCAGGAGCAAGGAGCAGCUCCAUCCCUGGGUGAUGAGCAGGAUUUGCCCCCUCAGCUCAGCUUCUGAAACAGUGGAAAUACCGUGUUCCCUUUGCUGUACAUCACCUUACCUCUAUGUUAAUGCUGCCUAGAGAGACCACAGACAAACAUCCAGCAUCAUUAGAGCUCACCUGUCAACGUUAAACUCUGCAAAUUGUUGCAUUCCAUUUCAAGCAUAAUCAAAGGAUUUUUUUUUUUUUUUUUUUUUAAAUCAAGGUGGAUUGCCUGAGCUUUUGGUACUGCAGACAGCUUUUAACUAUGAAAGUAGCACGGUGUUUGAGUUUAAAAAGCAAACACAAGAUACAAUCUGUGAUAAGCAGCAUCCUCUAAAGCAAAUACAAACCAACCAGAACAAACAGCUUCAGGCAAAUUAGCAAAGUAAACAGUCGAAAGCAAAGAGAACAAGAGAAGACCAGAGAGAGGCUGUAUUGCUCUUUCUUUGGAGGUCUUAAAGGGUUUCAGCAACUCCCAGCUCCAUCUGUCUGUAGGAAAUCAGGGUUUUGCCACUGGCACGAGUAUUAAAAUUCUGCCAUGGGACUGGGAAAGAUGAUGCUCCUGGUGCUUUGUAACUCUCUAAUUAGUUUCUCUUCUGCCAAAGAGCACAACAUCAACAUAUUUUAGUACAAUAACUAGUCUCAGACAAUUUCUCAAUCAUUUCUCGGGAUGUGACUGAAAUAAAAUCCACUGCCACCAGCUCCCAAACUGUUGAUUUCACCAAAGCUCCACGAGUGCAGGAAUCAUCACUUAUGACCAGUCUGCACAGCCAGGGUGUUCUUUCUGUCUACUUUGCUUGUAGAGGUUUAAUAUUCUGUGAAGUAAUUUAACUCCUUGCAUAGAUGUUAGUCUUGGUCUUCUGUUCUUACAUGCCUACCUAGCAAAUUAUCUACUACUUAGAUUUUGUCCUGAGGCUCUGAACCAUCAAUUAGUACUUUAUUAUAGCCAUGAUUUUUUUGGUCCAAAUAAAAAUUUAAGCCAAGAGAAAAAGCUUUUUUAAAAAGUGGACUGCCCUGCAAACACCUACUGUUAAAGGCACAGUUGUGAGUCAAACUAGACUGUUUGUCUCUGAAAACACUACUUCAGUUGUAGAAAAGAAUUGAGGUAGUAAGAUAUACUACCUCAAUUCUCAUAAAUUUUAAUGUAGAACCAUUAGCUUUUAAAAAACCCAAAAUCUUUAACAGAUACUGAAGAAAAUGCUAUUGACUAUACAAAUUGUAUUUUAACAGAAGAAUUGCUGCAGUGAGAUGUAAUUUUCUACGUGUGUUAAUCUGUGUGAUACUACAGGUGAGGAUGCAGUGCUCUUUAGUUCCAAGGGACAUUCAGCAUCUUUUAGAAACACAAGCAAUCCAGUAAGAAAGAGCUCCAUUAUUUUCUACUUUAUGUAUUUUCCUUUCAAAUCUAAUGAUUUUCAGAAGUUGUUAGGGUUACGGGGUCAACAGACACUGUAAGAGUCCAUUAGGUGUACGAGAAAGCAGAGCUGUGAAAAGCACUCAUGAGGAAGAACAUAAAAAACAAGUGCCCAACAAAUGUUGGAAGUAUUGUUAUACGUGGUUGUUUCCUAAAGCAGGGCACUCAGACAAGGAAAAGCAUCCCAGGCCAGUCAGGACAAUGUUUGUCCCUUUUAGGGCUGUAGGAGAAAGCUCAGUGUCUGAACACCAAAGACAUCUAUUUACAAUCCAAAUUCAGAGGGUUUGUGAGAGCAGCACUAUUUCAUAUUGCUGUUCUCUCUGGGCUCUGCAAGCUGCCUUUAGAGCUUGUGAUGGUGGUGCUUGGUGCUCUUCCUCACACCUGCAAGUUGUUCUAGCUCUUUCCUAUAGCUAAGCACUAUCCUUUCAUGUAAUUAGACUUAAAUUAUUUCCCUGGUGGUGGUGGGUUGACCUUGGCCAGCUGCCCGAUACCCACCCAGUCACUUUCUCACCCCAGUCCUCAACAGGACAAGGCAAAGGAAAAUAAUGCUGACAAGCUCAUGGGUCAAGGUGAAGGCAGGGACAUCACUGUCACAAACAAGGCAGACUUAGCUUGAGGAAAAAUUAUUUACUUUAUUGGUGGUUAAAACAGAUUUGGAUGGUGAGAAACAAAGACAAAAUUAAAACUCCUCCACCGCUUUCUCCCAGCCUCACCUUCACUCCUUCAUUGCUGAUUCCUCAGCCUGUCUCAUGUGACUGCUGUUGGGAGCAUGGGGAAUGGGGGCUGUGCUCAGUCCAUGGCAGCUCCUCUCUGCCGCUCCUUCCUCUUCACACCCUGCUCCAGCAUGGAUGCAGUGGGGACACCUGCUCAGCCAUGGUCUCUGGAGGGGCUGCCAGAUAACCCCUGCUCUGGGACCUGGAUCACCUCCUCCUCUGCUCCCCCUCCUUCUCUUGAGGCCCACAGGGAUGUUUCUCAACUUUUCCCCUUGUUGCCACACAGCAUUUUGACUUUCUGUCCUCACACAUUCCCUGAGGUGUCACCCUGCUGGCUGCUGGACUCGGCAUUUCUCAAUAGAAAGUGCUCCAAAAUAUUUCAGAGAUGGUAAAUCAAAAUCAAAAAAAAAUUUAAUAAUCUUUUCAGCAAGAUGAGGUGUAUCAGUAAGAUCACUUUUUGUGGGACCAGCUGUAGGCAUUUCCAGACUCAGACAUGAGCAGUUUGCAACACAUUUCCACCUCUGGAGCCCCCUGUAAGCUGAGCUGUGGAGCUGGAUUACUGAUGAGGAGAAUUACUGAGAAGGAGAAAUGUGCAUCUUUUUGGAGGUCACAGAGGUUCUUGAGCUGCUUUUGCUGCAAAAGCCACUGAUGUCUGAAUCUUACAAAUAAUUUCAAAAAGAGUUCUCUAAAAAUGUGGCAUUUACCUGGCCUAAUAGUAAAGGACACAAGGCAAUGGGGAGCCAUUUGAUGGCUCACUGCUGCUACUGGCUCCUCCCCUCUUUUGUUCUUGCUCUGGCUACUGCUCAUCCACAUCCCUUGCCAGAGUUUUUCCCAAGCUGAUUUGUACCACAUAAGAUUGCAAAAAAUUGUUUGAAAAUUAGACUGUUUCAAUUCACUAAUGCAGAAUUAAUAGAUCAGUCUAUAGUAAGGGUGAAGGGUGCAUCAGAGGAAAAAAUGGGACAAGACUGCUACUAAAAGUUUAAAGAAAGACGUAAAAUGGAAUUGAGAGCAAGAUAUAAAAUGAAGUGAGAGAGCCUCCUCUUCCAGGGAGGAGGAGCUAUUAUGCUGCCCAUGCUGUCCAGAGACCAUGCUCCAUCAUCUUCCUCACUCCUCUACUCUUCAUUGGGUUGGCAUAUUUUAAAAAUUGAUUUUAAAAUUUGUCAGCUUUGCAAACAUAUCACUUAAUCCUUUGGUAUACUAGACAAAAAUUACUUUCCUGUAAAACGACAUUAAGAUCUGCCUUCACUCACCAAGUCAGGUAUCAGUAGCUGAAAAACACAAGUUUUGCUUGGUAGUCCAGUUUCUCUUUUUCCUGUUUCAGGAGGUGCUGUUUUGUAUUGACUUUGUGAAAAACAAGGCAGCAGGCAUUCAAAACAAUGACUUGUCAGAUAAAUCUGAAAUCACACCAACACACGUCUCAGACUGACCUCUUGAAAGUUUUACUUAGACAUUUGUGAACUUCAAUCAUCCUGGAAAUGUUGGAGAGUCAAACCCAAGACACAUUGCAGCUCCUGAAGGUGGCCCUGCCAUCAUUAGCACUUGUUCAUAUAUCCUGCACUGCUGUCUGUCAAAAGACAAGAGGCAUAUAAAGACAGCAGAUAAACAAGGUUUUUAGUUUACAGAUGUCCAUUCUAUGUUUAAAAAAAGAAAAAAAAAAAAAAGAAAACAAAUUCCAAAUAUUAUUAUUCUUUUUUUUUGCCAUUUAUAAUUUGAGAUCUUUCUUUUCAUGAACUGAUUGAUGCUUUCCAAUACAAUCCUCCCAUGCUGAAAUGACAACCAAGGAUAGAUGGAUCCACAGCAUUCAUAUUUUUUACAUGCUUUAUCUUCAAUAAGGCCAGAUUUCUGAACAUUAGGACUAAAAAAUGAGAAGAAAAAAACAGACUUUGUCAUUUUUGAUAAAUUAUCAAAAUGGACAUCUGAGACAGUCCAUUCAUUCUAAAAAUUCAUUCCCAAGUACUAGAUUAAUUCUCCCUUAGAACUGAGAAGACCAGAAGACCAAUGCACACCAAACUCUCACCUGAAUUUAAAGCUCUUUUUUUCUUUCUUUUUUUUUUUGUUUUGUUGUUUUGUUUUGUUUUGUUUUGUUUUGUUUUAAAUGCUCACCCUUUAUUCAUUUCAUUCAUACUAGUUUUGCACUGUUCUGUAGCUUAAAGCUCCUGAUGCCACUGGAGCCUGAACACUGAAAUACCAUUAAGAAAAUGUUCUUUUUGUUUUUCUGGGCAGCGGGAUAUAUAGAAUCCACCUGAACAGAUUCCUAUAAAAUGCUGUAUGUCCCAGGAGAUUUACAUAGAUUACAUAGGCUUCAGGUAAACAUUUGAACCAAAUUUUGCAUCUUUAGAGGAUUACCUGUAUGCUAUUAUUAAUUAUUUCAGUGACAUUGUUAUUAAUACAUUUCAUAACACAGUUAAAUUAUUUUGUGUUUUUAUAAUGAAAAAUACCCCAAAUUACUUUGUUUUUGGGGAAUGUUGUGAUUAACAUGGAAAUACAUAUAGAAGAAAAAAGUAGUAAGCAUUGCUAUUUAAAACUGACUCAACUAUUAAACAAUGGCAUUUCAGAUCACAGAAUUAGACUUUUCCCAAGCUUAAAAAAUUUGAAAUCUCAAUUAUUGAUGUUAUGCAGAUGUUCUCAAAAAUUAAAUAACAAAUUUCCAUCUCAUUCCACUUUACUACAUUUCUGCAAGUAAUUAAUAUUCCAGGUAACUUCUGUCAUGUGAAAGGUAGUCAGACUGUGUUUCACUGUUGUUGUUAUGAAAUAAUUUGAACAAGAGAUGUCUUCAAUGCUUGUGGUAAAGGGUGACCAUGCAUUUUAAAUGCUUUGUAUGACAACAGAGAGGGUCCUGGACUGUGGAAUGAAGGUAAGAAACUGCAGAAAUCCCAUAUUAACCCCAGUGUGUUAUUCUUGAAACUUGAAAAAGCCCAGAUAUUUUAUCUGACAUUCUCUCCACUCAUUCAGUUUUCUGAUCUACAAAGGAACAAGCACUUUCUGACAAAGGGGGUUAUGCACUUACAUGUCACACAGCAUCUGCACUGUGUUGGUACGUCCAGAGCAGGGAGACAAACAGAGCUGCUGAACUUAAAAGAAAUCAAUUACAAACCCAAGAUUUCCAUGGAAACCUAAUGAAAACAAACACAAGAUACAAAAGAAGAUUAAGCUUGGAGUCAUCAAAAGAAGAGCUCUAAUUAUAGAAGCAACACAUCAUUGGAGGGAAAUAUUAAACUGUAAGAGUCAGCACCCACCUAGCAAGUGUCAUAAAUAAAUACCAAAAUUCUAAGGGGAAAAUUCAACAGUCAAAUCUGCAGAUGUAUGUCUCUGACAAGUGAUUUAAGUAAAGCUCCUUGUGGUCUCUGAAA